UUGUAAAAGUCAAGCAGAUGUAUCCUCUUCCUCCCUCUUAAUCUUAUGCACCACCCGUCCAAGAUUUCUGAUAGAUUAAAAUUGACGAAGACCUUAAAGAACAACUAGCCAACUCUAUAAAACAUAUCAUUUCAUUUCAUUUAUUUGGUUUUUUCAUAUACCAAACAAGUUUUUCAUAGGUGAUCGUAUCUUGAUUUCAACAAUGAGUUACGACAACAACAAUCAUCAAGAUUCAGAAGGAAGUUAUCAAGCCGGUCCUUAUGUUGCACCACCUCCAGUUAGUUACCCUAUGAGAUAUGGUCCUCAACACCACCAACAGCCACCUCCUCCUCCAGAAAAAACUAAGCAGAGGGGUGAUGAAUUUUGCACAGGAUGCUGCUGCUGCUGUAGCCGCCGCCGCUGUUGUUACUGCUGGGACUACUGCUGCUACUGCUGUGACUGCUUGAAAUCUAUUUUUGAAUGCUUUGGGAUUUGUGAGGGUGCAGGAGACUAAGACAAUUGAAAUAAUGGAUAUGAGAUAGAAUAAGAGAUGGGGACACAUUAUUUUUAAUAUAUAUUGGAACACCUUCUGCACCACCAGAACAGUGUCAGGCAGACUUCUGAAGCUGUAAGACAGUGGCGGCGCGUCUUCCCCACGCGCCACUAGCGGCGCGUCGGUUCACCCGCCGCCGCGAGGAAGAAACUGGAAACAGUGGGAUCUGGCUCAGCCCCUUCUCCUCUUCCUUUCCCUGCCGGCGGUGACAACCACCGUCACCUGCAAAAGAAGAAAAAACGCAAGCAAAGUUUCGGUUCUUCCUCCCCCUUUUUAGAUCUGCUCUCUUCUGGUUUCUCUCUUUCUCUUGGUUCGGUGAUUUUUCUUCUGCAGGUAAUAGAUCCGGCGGUUGGGCUGUCGUCCGUGGCAGCUGAAGCUGUGGUGGAGAUGUGAGUGGUUGUUCGGUCGGAGGGCGAAGAAGAAAUGGCGCCUGCGGCUGAAGAGGGAGACCGUAGGUCUGUGGGCGCCGCUGCUGGAGAAGGGCUGCUGCUGACCGGUUGAAGGAGAUGACGAAGAGAGUGGGGGCUGUUGCUGUGUUCGGCUGCCGCUGGAGGAUGGUCGAAGGAGAGAGGAGACCUGGUUCGGUCUGUGAUGGAGAAGAAGCUGAAACUGCCGGCGAGAGGGGAGAGUAAAGGGGUAUGACUCCGCCCUCUUUUGGUCUUGGCGAGCUGGUUCAGGAGAAAGGAAAAUGAGGGCUGGUGUCUGUGGUGUGUUGUGGGGCUGGGGACGAUGGAGAGGCUGGGAGAGGGAAGGUCUGGUGAGGGGUUGUCUUGGCUGAGAGGGGGAUGAUGGUGGCGGCCGGCGACUGAGGGAGAAGGAAGUGAGAUUGAGAGGGGGGGGCUUGAGCGGCUGCAGGAGGGGUCCAAGCUGGGGGGCGGCGGCGGCUUCUUAGAGAAGAGAUAGAUUUAGGUUUUCUCUUUUUUUUUUACUCUCCAAACUGCCCCCCUUCCCUUUGUAAAUUUCCUCCCCCUUUGGUAAUUUUUUUAGUAGUUAUAGGUGAAAUGUUGCUUUUUCCUUAAAAUUUGUUCCUCAACUUUGUUUUUUUAUAAAAUUUUAAUUUUUGUUUUUUUUGUA